UAGUACUUCUGUGCAUAUAUACUAAAAUUAGAACACGCGAAGAACAUUAGUGUGGUCCCUGCACAAGGAUGACACGCAAAUUUGUGAAGCCUUCCGUAUUUAA
rfam:Cavia porcellus supercont2_39 genomic scaffold, whole genome shotgun sequence.